rnacentral:rRNA from 1 species
UACGUAGGGUGCAAGCGUUACUCGGAAUUACUGGGCGUAAAGCGUGCGUAGGUGGUUUGUUAAGUCUGAUGUGAAAGCCCUGGGCUCAACCUGGGAAUUGCAUUGGAUACUGGCAGGCUAGAGUGCGGUAGAGGAUGGCGGAAUUCCCAGUGUAGCAGUGAAAUGCGUAGAGAUCGGGAGGAACAUCUGUGGCGAAGGCGGCCAUCUGGACCAGCACUGACACUGAGGCACGAAAGCGUGGGGAGCAAACAGG